ACAGUUUUGCACCACCUGUAGUCUCAAGUCCAGGCACAGGCAGUGCUUGCUAAGGCAAUGUAGUUAUAGCUUCCAACACCAUCUAGAGUUCACAGAGUACUGAACCCAAGCUAUUUUUAUUCUACACUACUUUCAUUCUACAUUGGCAUUACUGUUUUUUGGAUCUGCAAUUCCAUGAAUCAUCUAGGUUGAAUGAAUGUUAUAAUAGCAAAUCUUUUAAAUUAGCACAGUUUGUUUGCACUGAAGAAGUGGGAACAGUCAUGUGAAGGAAGCUACCAGCACAGUAUGGGAUUUUUCUUACAUUCAUGCCAAUUUAAACAGAUGUAUCAGUCCUGUGCUACCUAUUAACGUUUUAAGUGACAUAAGAUGUCAUUUGCUGACAUACAGAGAAUACGUAAUUAAACAGCUGGCUAGUAAAAGAAACCAUUUGCUGAAGAACGUGUUGAAAGUAAAGUGCUAAUAAAUAUAUUUGAAAGCAUACAGCAGUAUAUUAACUCAUUUAUAUGAUCCUGAGGGAACUAUGAUUUGCAAUAAUGAGAUACCUUUGGUUUCUUUUUGUUUGUUUGUUUUAAUUUAUCUAGCAUAUUUUUGCAAUCAGCUGGUAUUAAGGAGGAUUUUGAUGUAUAAACCAAUUAAAUGAUGUUUAAAUCAUGAACUUAAUCACACUUUUUUUAAAGUUCUGUCUGCAGUGCCCCAAUACUGCAAGCUGGUAAGACAAAAACUUAUUCCAUUUCACAUAGUUCCUAUUGGAAGACUUUGAAUAUGAUAAUUAUGUCUGCGGGGAGUCAUGAGAAUGAAUUCUGGAGUUAAAUCCACCCAUUUAUUAUGAGCAGGGAAAUGCAGAUCAUUUGUUAAGUUUGUUUUUGUUUUUGUUUUUGUUUUUGUUUUUGUUUUAUAUACAGAAGAAUAACCUCAUGGAAAUAGCUAUACAAUUUGCAGGAUAUCCUGUUAGAAAAUCAGUGUUUAUCUUCAGAUAUUUUGCUACACCUAUAGGAGCUGCUGUCAAACUCUGUAAGGGCAGAGGAGCAUAUGAUAUAGAACCUCACUGAAGUCAAUGGAGUGGCUCAACCAUCACAGGAGUUCUGUCUGGAAGAGGUCACAACCUCCUUGAAAGUUGAAAGAGCUUUAAAAAACCAGACAUUCAUGUCAGCUAUUGAAGUAAGAAUGUCAAAGGACUCCAAGUGGUGUUCAAGAUCAAGGACCUUAGAAUCAUAGCAUGCAGGAGCCAUGUAAACACUUUGACAUAGUCAGAGGAUGAAUUGAGGCAGCUUUUUGGUGAUUAGAAAAAAAAAUAAACUACAAGAAAAGCACA
rnacentral:lncRNA from 1 species